UUGUUUUAGGACGCCCCCACUAGACGCUGGGCAGACGGUCAGCGGCGGUGAGGCUAAGCACUGAUGACAAGCUGCUGGAGAGGCUGCAGUGGAGGAGAAUGAGCAGAGUCUGCAGAGGGGCCGGCCUGAGCCUCAGACAUACUCAGGGACCCUUCGUCUCGUUUGUCCUGGAGAGAGAGCUCAUUCCUCACCACCAUGUCCCAGAAUCAGUCAGCACAGACGACUGACUCCUUCAGCCAAGAUGUAUUUAACCAACUGUUUGAUAUGCUGGACCAAUCUGCCAUUCAUUCAGUCCAGCCCAUUGAGUUGAACUUCACAGACAGUCCAACUGAUGGGUCUGCAGGAAACACCAUUCAGAUCAGUAUGGACUGCAUAACCAUGCAUGAGCCAGAUGAAACGCUUACU